AUACGGAGGGUGCAAGCGUUAUCCGGAUUCAUUGGGUUUAAAGGGUGCGCAGGCGGAAUGAUAAGUCAGUGGUGAAAUUCUACAGCUUAACUGUAGAACUGCCAUUGAUACUGUCAUUCUUGAGUACACUUGAAGUGGGCGGAAUGUAUCAUGUAGCGGUGAAAUGCAUAGAUAUGAUACAGAACUCCGAUAGCGAAGGCAGCUCACUAAAUUGUAACUGACGCUCAGGCACGAAAGCGUGGGGAGCAAACAGGAGUAGAAACCCCGGUAGUCC
rnacentral:rRNA from 1 species